rnacentral:pre_miRNA from 1 species
UAGGGGAUAGUGCAGAGGUCUAUUUAUUCACUAGACCUCUGCACUAUCCCCUGUA